rnacentral:lncRNA from 1 species
AAGGACUUAUCAACUAUUUCCUUGGGAGAAUUAGCGAAUGCCUUGCAGCCACAAGAGCAAAGGAGAUUGAUGAGACAAGAGGAAACUGUGCAUCUUUUCAUGCAAAAGCACAAAACUCAGGAGAAAGCAAAGACAAGAAAUAUAACAAAACGUACAACAAGAAACCAGAAAAUUUCAACAAGCGAGAGGCCAAGAAAGAGGAGACUUAUCCAUCCUACCCAUAUUGCAAGAAAACAAAUCAUCCUCAAAAAAAAGUGCUGGUAGAGACUUGACAUCAAAUGCAGGAAAUGUGGACAAACUGGACACAUGGAGGAUCUGCAGGUCACAACAACACGAAGGUAAAGCAAAUGUUGUUGUUGAGGAACAUCAAGAGGAGCAGCUGUUUGUUGCAACAUGCUUUGUAACAAGCAAUAGCUCUAGUUCUUUGCUGAUUGAUAGUGUUUGCACACACCACAUGACCAAUGAUCGGGAGCUCUUCAAGGAGCUUGACAAAACUAUUAUUUCCAAAGUAAAAAUUGGAAAUGGUGAAUACAUCUCAGUCAAGGGCAAAGGAAGUGUGGCUAUAGAAAGUUUAUCAGGUUUGAAGUAUAUCACUGACGUUUUAUAUGUACCUGACAUUGACCAAAACCUGCUUAGUGUUGGAAAACUAACUGAGAAAAGUUUCAAAGUCAUAUUUGAAGAUAAAUG